AUUGAACGCUGGCGGCAUGCUUUACACAUGCAAGUCGAACGGUAACAGGCCGCAAGGUGCUGACGAGUGGCGAACGGGUGAGUAAUGCGUCGGAACGUGCCCAGUCGUGGGGGAUAACUACUCGAAAGAGUAGCUAAUACCGCAUACGAUCUAUGGAUGAAAGCGGGGGACCGUAAGGCCUCGCGCGAUUGGACCGGCCGAUGUCAGAUUAGGUAGUUGGUGGGGUAAAGGCUCACCAAGCCAACGAUCUGUAGCUGGUCUGAGAGGACGACCAGCCACACUGGGACUGAGACACGGCCCAGACUCCUACGGGAGGCAGCAGUGGGGAAUUUUGGACAAUGGGCGCAAGCCUGAUCCAGCAAUGCCGCGUGCAGGAAGAAGGCCUUCGGGUUGUAAACUGCUUUUGUACGGAACGAAACGGCUCUGGUUAAUACCCGGGGCUAAUGACGGUACCGUAAGAAUAAGCACCGGCUAACUACGUG
rnacentral:rRNA from 1 species